UACGGAGGGUGCAAGCGUUAUCCGGAUUCACUGGGCUUAAAGGGUGCGUAGGUGGCCAGGUAAGUCAGUGGUGAAAUCUCCGAGCUUAACUCGGAAACUGCCAUUGAUACUAUCUGUCUUGAAUUAUCUGGAGGUGAGCGGAAUAUGUCAUGUAGCGGUGAAAUGCUUAGAUAUGACAUAGAACACCAAUUGCGAAGGCAGCUCACUACGGAUAUAUUGACACUGAGGCACGAAAGCGUGGGGAUCAAACAGG
rnacentral:rRNA from 1 species